GACGUAGGGCGCGAGCGUUGUCCGGAUUUAUUGGGCGUAAAGAGCUCGUAGGUGGUUUGUCGCGUUGUUCGUGAAAACUCACAGCUCAACUGUGGGCGUGCGGGCGAUACGGGCAGACUUGAGUACUGCAGGGGAGACUGGAAUUCCUGGUGUAGCGGGUGGAAUGCGCAGAUAUCAGGAGGAACACCAAUUGCGAAGGCAGCUCGCUGGGACGUUACUGACGCUGGAGACGCGAA
rnacentral:rRNA from 1 species